UACGGGGGGGGCAAGCGUUGUUCGGAAUUACUGGGUGUAAAGGGCUCGUAGGCGGCCAACUAAGUCGGACGUGAAAUCCCUCGGCUCAACCGGGGAACUGCGUCCGAUACUGGAUGGCUUGAGUUCGGGAGAGGGAUGCGGAAUUCCAGGUGUAGCGGUGGAAUGCGCAGAUAUCAGGAGGAACACCGGUGGCGAAGGCGGGUCUCUGGGCAGUAACUGACGCUGAGGAGCGAAAGCGUGGGGAGCGAACAGG
rnacentral:rRNA from 1 species